UUCACGCCAGAUACAUUUUGCACCAAGAAUGUCACUGCGACAGUCAUAUUUACACUUCUUGACCCUCGGUUUUACUUGACCGCUUUAAAAGAGACAAUAUUCAUGCUUGGUUCGCGUAGAACGCAAAGAUUUCGUCCAGAAGAUUACAUCAAAAUGAACCAGACCUUUUGGAAAUGCUAUCAAAACAACACUAUGGAAGUGAACUAAGGACACAGGAACUACAGUGUAGAAGGUUAUUACUGGAUAAAAGCACAAGCUUUUGUGUCUAGAAAUGCUUCUACAUGCAACAAAUA
rnacentral:lncRNA from 1 species